UACCAGCACCCCGAGUGGUCGGGACGAUUAUUGGGCCUAAAGCAUCCGUAGCCGGUUCUACAAGUCUUCCGUUAAAUCCACCUGCUUAACAGAUGGGCUGCGGAGGAUACUAUAGAGCUAGGAGGCGGGAGAGGCAAGCGGUACUUAGUGGGUAGGGGUAAAAUCCGUUGAUCCAUUGAAGACCACCAGUGGCGAAGGCGGCUUGCCAGAACGCACUCGACGUUGAGGGAUGAAAGCUGGGGGAGCAAACCGG
rnacentral:rRNA from 1 species